GAUGAAGAACUUAGCGAAAUGCGAUACGUAAUGUGAAUUGCAGAAUUCAGUGAAUCAUCGAAUCUUUGAACGCAUAUUGCGCUCUCUGGUAUUCCGGAGAGCAUGCUUGUUUGAGUAUCAGUAAACACCUCAACUUCCAUAUCUUUUUUGAAAUGGGAGUUGGACUUGAGUGAUCCCAACGCUUUUCCUCACCGAAAAGUGGCGGGUUACUUGAAAUGCAGGUGCAGCUGGACUUUUCUCUGAGCUAUAAGCAUAUCUAUUUAGUCUGCCCAAAAAACAGAUUAUUACCUUUGCUGCAGCUAACAUAAAGGAGAUUAGUUCUUGUGCUGACUGAUGCAGGAUUCACAAAGACAGGCUUCGGCCGACUUUGUAAACUCGAUCUCAAAUCAAGUAAGACUACCCGCUGAACUUAAGCAUAUCAAUAAGCGGAGGA
rnacentral:misc_RNA from 1 species